CGUGCAGGAAGAAGGCCCUAUGGGUGUAAACUGCUUUUAUCAGGGAAGAAACCUCUGGAUUACUCCGGAGCUGACGGUACCUGAAGAAUAAGCACCGGCUAACUCCGUGCCAGCAGCCGCGGUAAUACGGAGGGUGCGAGCGUUAUCCGGAAUUACUGGGUUUAAAGGGUGCGUAGGCGGCUUUGUAAGUCAGGAGUGAAAGUUUGCGGCUCAACCGUAAAAUUGCUUUUGAUACUGCAGAGCUAGAAUCAGGAUGAGGUCAGCGGAAUGUGGCAUGUAGCGGUGAAAUGCAUAGAUAUGCCAUAGAACACCAAUUGCGAAGGCAGCUGGCUAGACCUGUAUUGACGCUGAGGCACGAAAGCGUGGGGAGCGAACAGGAUUAGAUACCCUGGUAGUCCACGCCCUAAACGAUGCUUACUCGACGUAUGGCCCUUGUGGUUGUGCGUCCAAGGGAAACCGUUAAGUAAGCCACCUGGGGAGUACGACCGCAAGGUUG
rnacentral:rRNA from 1 species